UACGUAGGGCGCAAGCGUUGUCCGGAAUUAUUGGGCGUAAAGAGCUCGUAGGUGGCGUGUCGCGUCUGCCGUGAAAGCCCAUGGCUUAACUGUGGGUCUGCGGUGGAUACGGGCAGGCUGGAGGCUGGUAGGGGCAAGCGGAAUUCCUGGUGUAGCGGUGAAAUGCGCAGAUAUCAGGAGGAACACCGGUGGCGAAGGCGGCUUGCUGGGCCAGUUCUGACGCUGAUGCGCGAAAGCCAGGGGAGCGAACGGG
rnacentral:rRNA from 1 species